rnacentral:rRNA from 1 species
CAGUCGCCGCGGUAAUACGUAGGGUGCAAGCGUUAAUCGGAAUUACUGGGCGUAAAGCGUGCGCAGGCGGUUUGUUAAGACAGAUGUGAAAUCCCCGGGCUUAACCUGGGAACUGCAUUUGUGACUGGCAAGCUAGAGUAUGGCAGAGGGGGGUGGGAUUCCGCGUGUAGCAGUGAAAUGCGUAGAUAUGCGGAGGAACACCGAUGGCGAAGGCAGCCCCCUGGGCCAAUACUGACGCUCAUGCACGAAAGCGUGGGGAGCAAACAGGAUUAGAUACCCGGGUAGUCCCUGUCUCUUAUAC